rnacentral:rRNA from 1 species
UGGGGAAUAUUGCACAAUGGGCGAAAGCCUGAUGCAGCCAUGCCGCGUGUAUGAAGAAGGCCUUCGGGUUGUAAAGUACUUUCAGCGGGGAGGAAGGGAGUAAAGUUAAUACCUUUGCUCAUUGACGUUACCCGCAGAAGAAGCACCGGCUAACUCCGUGCCAGCAGCCGCGGUAAUACGGAGGGUGCAAGCGUUAAUCGGAAUUACUGGGCGUAAAGCGCACGCAGGCGGUCUGUCAAGUCGGAUGUGAAAUCCCCGUGCUCAACCUGAGAACUGCGUUCUAAACUGGCAGGCUAGAGUCUUGUAGGGGAAGGUAGGAUUCCAGGUGUAGCGGUGAAAUGCUUAGUGAUCUGGGGGAAUACCGGUGGCGAAGGCGGCCCCCUAGACAAAGACUGACGCACAGGUUCGAAAGCGUGUGGAGCAACCAGG